rnacentral:rRNA from 1 species
CCUACGGGGGGCGGCAGUGGGGAAUUUUCCGCAAUGGGCGAAAGCCUGACGGAGCAAUACCGCGUGAGGGAUGAAGGCCUUUGGGUUGUAAACCUCUUUUAUCAAGGAGGAAGUUCUGACGUGUACUUGAUGAAUAAGCAUCGGCUAACUCCGUGCCAGCAGCCGCGGUAAGACGGAGGAUGCAAGUGUUAUCCGGAAUCACUGGGCGUAAAGCGUCUGUAGGUGGUUUAAAAAGUCUGCUGUUAAAAAUUGAAGCUUAACUUCAAAGAUGCCGUAGAAACUUUUAAACUAGAGUAUGAUAGGGGUAGAGGGAAUUUCCAGUGGAGCGGUGAAAUGUGUAGAUAUUGGAAAGACCACCGAUGGCGAAGGCACUCUACUGGGCCAUUACUGACACUGAGAGACGAAAGCUAGGGGAGCAAAUGGGAUUAGAUACCCCAGUAGUCCUAGCUGUAAACGAUGGAUACUAGAUGUUGUGUGUAUUGACCCAUGCAGUAUCGUAGCUAACGCGUUAAGUAUCCCGCCUGGGAAGUAUGCUCGCAAGAGUGAAACUCAAAGGAAUUGACGG